AAGUUGAAUGAAUUAUUCCGCGAAAGUAUCUGCAACGCGUAGGGUCUGUGCAAUCGAAUAAAAUUGGAUGUGUGCCUUGUUUAUAUACAUUCCCUACUAAAUUUACAAAAAUAACAAAUAAAAUAAAAUAAAAUGAAUAGAUAAAUAAUAAGCGAAGCUAAAGUAGGGAAAUAAAAGCAAACACAAAUUAAUGAAUAUUUUCCCAACUUUUGCUUUAUUUGCUUGAGAAAGAAGCGCCGGCCGUUUUCUUCAUCGCUUAAUAUCCUCAGCUGUUUAACUUACUUACUUGUCUUCAAUUAGUAAAGAUAGUUAGUUGUGUAUAAAUUUACAUAUGUGGUGAAAGGAAGUCGGCGAAGGAAAACUUUCAUUGGCGAGGGAAAAAAAUUCAAAGGACCUUUCUGGAGUCUCUAUAAAGAGAACACUUACGAGCUAAUGAGGGAAAAUUUCCCAAAAAAGCACAAAUCUUCAUUUGUCAAAAAAGGCGAACUUUCAAUAUCCAUGGACGGGCAUGCGAGCAAAAAAAAAAUUGAUCGGCAUUUGAUCAUCGGGACGGAUCUAAUAAAUGCGCCAUCAUUUCUUUGCAAUAGACUUUACUCGGAGAAGAAUAAAUUCAGUCUGUGAGAAGACAUGUUGGUGAAUAAAAAAUUCACUUAUCCUAUAUUAGGGAUUGCGACUAACGAAACGCCAAUGCAAUUGACAACUGGCUUAAAUGGAAAAUGUCGUCUAAAGGAAAGUGCGAUCAUUCUUUAUAUAGAGCGGAUAUUUGAAUGUGAUUAAGGGCAGAUGGAUAUGAUUUUUCAUUCUAGGGGGCAUACGGGGCGCUUGUCCCUUGCGAGCGUAUAGAAAUUUGAUAAUUGACUUCGAAGUGAGUUGCGGCCACAACAACGCUUAUCAUGCUGGAAAAACUUUAAUUUUUUAGUUUACAUGACAUAGUGUAACGUAAUUUCGUGGAAUCGGAAAAUGCCAAUUAUCGCCCCGGGGUUAAUUGCAUGCAUAGUGCCAGCUAGAGACACACUUUACAUGAACGUCGGCCGUGAUCAAAGCAUCUCUUUAGAUUGACAUCGGACGGUGGCUGCAAUGCAACUUAAUACCGAAAAAACUCUUAUUAUUCCAGCUCGGUCUUGGCCAAGACAAAAAACCAGUAAAAGAAUUUUUGGAUAGACGAAGUCAGUCCAUAUUGCGCGCAUGGACUUGUCCCAAUGUCAUUGGGCGAGAGCGAAAGCGAGAUCUAACUAAGCCGGCAGGAAAUCGCAUAGCCACAUGACGAUGUGGCAAAAAAAGUGAAAACACAAUCACAUUACAUGUAAUAACAAAAUUAGAAGAAUGAGAGCGAGAAAGAGAAAGAGGACUUUAUACAAAAUUCGCAUGCGUCUCGGCUUAUUCAUCAUCAUCAUCAUCAUCUAUCGCCUAGAAUCUAAAAGUGCACUUGAAGGGCGGCUUAAUAAGAUAAAAUGCUUGAAGAAGACGAACGCGGCCGGUGGUCUUAAUUGUUUGGCAAUGAUGCCUGCCUUUUGCUUAAUAAAAAUAUUUGUAAUGAGCUGAAGAAAAUCUAUAAUACUAAAUAUAGUUAGUGUUUUAGUCUAAAUCGCGAUAAAAUUGAUGAAAGACAAAUUUAGUUGAAACUUAAAACUAACUUAUCUUAAAGAAUAGCUGAACUGAAUAACUAUAACCGCAACUCUCUGAAGAAAUCCUAAAACUGAAUACGAAAAAACGCAGACUAAAACUCAUCAAAGCUGAGAAUAGAGAGAGAAAAAGUCGUCUGUCGGUUGGUUGUUGCUUUUUUUUUUUUUUUGUAGAUGUAUAGCCAAAUAAGACAUUUAUUUAACAUCUUUUUUUGUUAUUUUAUUUUGUAUUUCUUACGAAAAAUACGAAAAAAAUAUGUAUUUAUAAAACGAGUUGAACAAACAUUUACACAAACAUACAUUAAAUAAACACGCUAUAACCUAUGCAUUCAAGGGGGAAAGUGAUGGCCUGCGCGUAAUCAGAAAGAGAAAAAAUAUAACAGAAAAUUUUCCAUUGAUAAAUUCAUGGGAAUAUAUUAAAGAAAAAGAAGAAGAA